rnacentral:misc_RNA from 1 species
AAUGCUAUAAUUUUAUUUGCUUAUUUAUUGUAUUUUUCAUGUAUAUGUUUGAUUAGAUAAGUUGCAUUUCUUUCCCAGGCCUUGUAGUGGUCGUUGGCCAUAUUAUGUAAUUUCCCUGCAGUGGUCACUGUCCAUGUCUAUUUUUAGCCCAAAUUCUUAGUCUAAAAACCUCCAAGUGACCUAUCAUGUAAUUGAUAAAAAUCCAAUGGUGAAAUUCUCCCCAAAUUUAAUUUAAUAGCCAAUCAAAUUAAGCGAUACGGUAACGUGGUUUGAUGCGGUCAGUAUCUGACCGGUGAGAUUAGGGUCAUUCUGUCUUCAUCUCUGAUAGUGUUAGCACGAGUAAUGUUUUGAUACACCCACCACCAUCCCCGUUUCACCACUCCAAUAUUCGAAAGUUGCAUACAUGUACAAAAUAUUGUUCUUUUGCAUUGGCAUAUUUUAUUGGCAUAUUUUAUUUUUGAGGUGCCAUCUUUUUGCUGGUUUUGUAUAUAUUGUAUAUAAUUUUGAACAAAAUAUUGUUUUUCUGUAUUUUAAGGGGAUCAGCAUAUUGAUAAGUUAUUUAACAUUUUGUGUGAACAGCUUUGGGUCUGAUCCCCUACUAUGUUGUUUAUAUUUUUCUUUACUUUCGUCAUUUUUAAUAAAUGACAUAUUUCAUCAUG